rnacentral:rRNA from 1 species
GACGGACGCUGGCGGCGUGCUUAACACAUGCAAGUCGAACGAUGACGACCGAGCUUGCUCGGUCUGAUUAGUGGCGAACGGGUGAGUAACACGUGAGCAACCUGCCCUUCACUCUGGGAUAACCUCGGGAAAUCGGGGCUAAUACCGGAUAUGAGCUCCUGUCGCAUGGCGGGUGUUGGAAAGUUUUUCGGUGCAGGAUGGGCUCGCGGCCUAUCAGUUUGUUGGUGAGGUAGUGGCUCACCAAGGCGAUGACGGGUAGCCGGCCUGAGAGGGCGACCGGCCACACUGGGACUGAGACACGGCCCAGACUCCUACGGGAGGCAGCAGUGGGGAAUAUUGCACAAUGGGCGAAAGCCUGAUGCAGCGACGCCGCGUGAGGGAUGACGGCCUUCGGGUUGUAAACCUCUUUCAGCAGGGAAGAAGCGAAAGUGACGGUACCUGCAGAAGAAGCGCCGGCUAACUACGUG